rnacentral:rRNA from 1 species
GUCUGUUUCUACCCUAAAGGCACCAGAUCCCAUCUGAUCUUGGAAGCCAAGCAAUGUCAGCUCUGGUUAGUGCUUGGAUGGGAGACUACCAAUGAAUAUUAAGUAAAUGGGUU